rnacentral:rRNA from 1 species
UACGUAGGGGGCAAGCGUUAUCCGGAAUUACUGGGCGUAAAGCGCCCGCAGGCGGUUCGCCAAGUUUGGCGUGACAGUUGUCGGCUCAACCGACAAAGGACUUCAAAAACUGGUGAACUUGAGGACGAGAGAGGAACAUGGAACUCCAGGUGUAGUAGUGAAAUGCGUAGAUAUCUGGAAGAACACCAAUGGCGAAGGCAAUGUUCUGGCUCGUUUCUGACGCUCAGGUGCGAAAGCCAGGGGAGCGAACGGG